CAACACCCUGUCACAACGAGACGGCUCCAACACCCUGUCACAACGAGACGGCUCCAACACCCUGUCACAACGAGACGGCUCCAACACCCUGUCACAACGAGACGGCUCCAACACCCUGUCACAACGAGACGGCUCCAACACCCUGUCACAACGAGACGGCUCCAACACCCUGUCACAACGAGACGGCUCCAACACUCUGUCACGGAGAGACGGCUCCAACACCCUGUACAUUUCAAGAGGAGCUCCGGGACCGACCUCUGGACUAGAGACCCCGUGGAGGGUGGGAAGGAUUGUCCUGAGGCGACCCACUCCAGGCAGCUCUGAUGGUUGUUCCCACUAUCUCUAGACCUCCAGAGAACAUCCGAACCAGGAGCCCCCGCACACGACUGUACCCUGCCAGGAGCCCCCGCACACGACUGUACCCUGCCAGGAGCCCCCGCACACGACUGUACCCUGCCAGGAGCCCCCGCACACGACUGUACCCUGCCAGGUCGCCAACACCAAGCCUUCUGCACAAGGCCUGGUCCUCAUCUCAUCCUACUGUGUAGGGGUUUAUGUGAAUACUGUUUUGUGUGUGUGUGUGUGUGAGCGCGCACACUUCCCUUUCGCCACCUGUAAUCUUCGGUCCCUCGAACAAACCUCUUGUAUCAGUUGUUUUUAUUGAGGCAGGGGAGUAUCAGUUACAGAGUAGAGUUCGUGGGCAGCAGUAAAUCACAGUGCGUGUGUGAAAGUAGAGACACUCACGGCUAUUGAAGUGGAGGCCGUUGUCCUGUGGGAGCUGUAGUGGAGGGGGAUCUGGCUGGAUAGGGGCAGCAUUCAUAAUGUGAAAUGAUAUCCCCAGGACCUGAGCAUAAGGGUCAAACGAAACCGCCUACAAACCUGCUGAGCAUGCAUCAAUUCAGGCCUAUGUACUGCCAACGUACUGUAGGAAUGCCAAGGUUAAGAUGAUGUACUGCCAACGUACUGUAGGAAUGCCAAGGUUAAGAUGAUGUACUGCCAACGUACUGUAGGAAUGCCAAGGUUAAGAUGAUGUACUGCCAACGUACUGUAGGAAUGCCAAGGUUAAGAUGAUGUACUGCCAACGUACUGUAGGAAUGCCAAGGUUAAGAUGAUGUACUGCCAACGUACUGUAGGAAUGCCAAGGUUAAGAUGAUGUACUGCCAACGUACUGUAGGAAUGCCAAGGUUAAGAUGAUGUACUGCCAACGUACUGUAGGAAUGCCAAGGUUAAGAUGAUGUACUGCCAACGUACUGUAGGAAUGCCAAGGUUAAGAUGAUGUACUGCCAACGUACUGUAAGAAUGCCAAGGUUAAGAUGAUGUACUGCCAUAUGCUGUUGAUAUACAGUGUCUUCAAAGUUUUCACAUUGUGUUGUUUUACAGCCUGCAUUUAAAAAUAGAUUAAAUGCAGAUUUUAUGUCACUAAUAAAUACAUGUUUACCAAUAGUGUCAAAGUGGAAUUAUGUUUUUAGAAAUGAAAUUCCGAAUGAAAAUAUGAAAU